UGAACGCUGGCGGCGUGCUUAACACAUGCAAGUCGAACGAGAAAGGGAUUGCUUGCAAUCCUGAGUAGAGUGGCGCACGGGUGAGUAACACGUAGAUAAUCUACCCUCAAGCCCGGAAUAACUAUUCGAAAGGAUAGCUAAUACCGGAUGAAGUGGUUUGGCAUAAGUUAAACCAUGAAAGAUUGCCUCUUCUUGAAAGCAAUUGUUUGGGGAUGAGUCUGCGGACCAUUAGUUUGUUGGUGGGGUAACGGCCUACCAAGACCGCGAUGGUUAGCUGGUCUGAGAGGAUGAUCAGUCACACUGGAACUGGAACACGGUCCAGACUCCUACGGGAGGCAGCAGUGAGGAAUUUUGCGCAAUGGGGGAAACCCUGACGCAGCAACGCCGCGUGAGUGAAGAAGGCCUUUGGGUCGUAAAGCUCUGUCGACAGGGAAGAAGUUAUAAAAAUCCAAUAGGUUUUUAUAUUGACGGUACCUGUAGAGGAAGCACCGGCUAACUCC
rnacentral:rRNA from 1 species